GAUGAACGCUGGCGACGUGCCUAAUACAUGCAAGUCGAGCGAAUGGAUUAAGAGCUUGCUCUUAUGAAGUUAGCGGCGGACGGGUGAGUAACACGUGGGUAACCUGCCCAUAAGACUGGGAUAACUCCGGGAAACCGGGGCUAAUACCGGAUAACAUUUUGAACCGCAUGGUUCGAAAUUGAAAGGCGGCUUCGGCUGUCACUUAUGGAUGGACCCGCGUCGCAUUAGCUAGUUGGUGAGGUAACGGCUCACCAAGGCAACGAUGCGUAGCCGACCUGAGAGGGUGAUCGGCCACACUGGGACUGAGACACGGCCCAGACUCCUACGGGAGGCAGCAGUAGGGAAUCUUCCGCAAUGGACGAAAGUCUGACGGAGCAACGCCGCGUGAGUGAGGAAGGCUUUCGGGUCGUAAAACUCUGUUGUUAGGGAAGAACAAGUGCUAGUUGAAUAAGCUGGCACCUUGACGGUACCUAACCAGAAAGCCACGGCUAACUACGUGCCAGCAGCCGCAGUAA
rnacentral:rRNA from 1 species